CACGUAGGGCGCAAGCGUUGUCCGGAAUUAUUGGGCGUAAAGAGCUCGUAGGCGGUCUGUCGCGUCUGCUGUGAAAACUCGGGGCUUAACCCCGGGCCUGCAGUGGGUACGGGCAGACUAGGGUGCGGUAGGGGAGACUGGAAUUCCUGGUGUAGCGGUGAAAUGCGCAGAUAUCAGGAGGAACACCGGUGGCGAAGGCGGGUCUCUGGGCCGUAACUGACGCUGAGGAGCGAAAGCAUGGGGAGCGAACAGG
rnacentral:rRNA from 1 species